rnacentral:sRNA from 1 species
GUAAGUCAUUGCCCUUUCUGAUAGUUCUGACGUUCAGUUGGAAAUCUCUGUUGGGAUCAGAAGAAAUGUCAACUGGGAAGAGAAGGGGACGCUAUGAUGGAAGACGUUGGACAGAAUCCACUGGAUGAUGUGUAAGUAUGGGAAUAAUAAAAGAGUUCAGUAGAGGAAGCUCCACGGGAAAAGUCUCCAGCAAUCCAGUACCAGACAAUAGAAUUACCAGCAUUAGAAGCCGUAAAACAGAACCUUGACUGCCUGAAUUCAGACCUUGAAAAGGACCUGCAGAAACUGGAUAUGGAGAAUCAGGUUCUCCUUAGAAAGAUUAAAGAGAAAGAAGAAACUAUUUCAAGCCUGGAAAGAAAGCUGGCCUUGUCACUAGAAGAAGCCAAAGAGGAGGAGGAGUUGAACUAUAUCAUAGAUGAACAGGAGGAAUCCCUGAGGGAGCUGGAAUUAGAGACAG